rnacentral:misc_RNA from 1 species
AGAUAGCACGACAGGAGAUUAAACAGAGACGAAGGAAAACCAAGAACAUCGUAUCUUCUCGGCCUUUCCCAGGAAGAAUGGCACAGAGCACACAUUCAUUCUCCAAUGAGUACUUGUCUUUCUAGUCUUCACCAUCUACCGCUUUCCUCUCCUUGUAUUCACACCCGUUAAUCAGAUUCCAACCACUAACCAUUUACUACAAGCCCCUACUAACAGUAGAUUAGCCUUCUUCAUCAUAAUCUUC